CGAUUGUCUUUUAAUUCCUCACCACACUCAAAGGAAAAAGAGAGACAGAGAGAACCGGUGAGAGAGAGACGGACGUCUGGUCACGCUUCCGGCAACGGUUACUGAGAUCUCCGUCGAAUUACUGCCCGGCCGUCGUUCUGCGAUGGGCCUACAUGUAUGAUCGGAGACCUGGAGGCGGCAAAUCGGUUUCCGGCCAGUUGAAAACCACCGAUUGUGCCACAUGGGUGUUCUCCGGCCAGUCUAGCGACGCAAGGUAUAGAUUAUCGACAACGUUAUAGUUUGGGUUUUGUCCUCCUUAUUAACCAGCGGUUUCUGUGGUGAUAGAUUGAGUUUGAGUGUGAGGUGAUCAAGAUCGCUGAUAAAUGGUGUUGUUUCUGGUGUUGUUUAAACGGUUUUAACCACCUAUCCGGCUUCUGUGAUCUUGGAAGUUAUGAAUAGUUGAGAUUGAAUUGGAUCGACAGUCCGUCUCUCUGCAGAGCAGCGUAAGGCAAUUAUAGCUCUUUUUUCGCCUUCUCAAUUACAGGGUAUCUGGUAAUUCAUUAAUGUUUGAUCUAAGUAUUUGGUUUACGAAUUGUGAUGGUUGUGGGUUGAGCUGUAUUUAAGCUUCCUCAUGUCGGCUCAGCGGAAUCAAGCGAUAGCUCCAAGAAGGCCUACGACGAAUGAAAAAGCUGAAAAUAAACUUUUCUGAAAGUUGCGGAUGAUGAAGACUAGGCAACUGAAACCCACACAAAGUCGUCGACGUACAAAUCUUUAGGUAGCACACCUUUUGUACAACUUAUUUGCGUAACACUCUAGGUAUCAGUAUGCUAAGUUGUGAAGACCGUUAUACAGAAGAACAUUUUAUACAUCUUUGUUUUGUAUAUCCUUAAUAUAUAGGUCAGGCGAUGUGACUAUGGAAGGAUGAUGUAAUCAAACACUUAGGGCCUCCCGGCCGCAACGCGGCGGGGUUUUAAAUCUAGUUCAUUUUAAUUUAUGUCAUAAAA